GGAGAGAUGGCCGAGUGGUCGAAGGCGCAGCACUGGAAAUGCUGUAACGGGGCAACUCGUUCGAGGGUUCGAAUCCCUCUCUCUCCG
rnacentral:tRNA from 1 species